rnacentral:rRNA from 1 species
GACGAACGCUGGCGGCGUGCUUAACACAUGCAAGUCGAACGAAGAGCGAUGGAAGCUUGCUUCUAUCAAUCUUAGUGGCGAACGGGUGAGUAACGCGUAAUCAACCUGCCCUUCAGAGGGGGACAACAGUUGGAAACGACUGCUAAUACCGCAUACGAUCUAAUCUCGGCAUCGAGGAUAGAUGAAAGGUGGCCUCUACAUGUAAGCUAUCACUGAAGGAGGGGAUUGCGUCUGAUUAGCUAGUUGGAGGGGUAACGGCCCACCAAGGCGAUGAUCAGUAGCCGGUCUGAGAGGAUGAACGGCCACAUUGGGACUGAGACACGGCCCAGACUCCUACGGGAGGCAGCAGUGGGGAAUCUUCCGCAAUGGACGAAAGUCUGACGGAGCAACGCCGCGUGAGUGAUGACGGCCUUCGGGUUGUAAAGCUCUGUUAAUCGGGACGAAAGGCCUUCUUGCGAAUAGUGAGAAGGAUUGACGGUACCG